UCUAACAUGGCAGAUAAGUGCAAUGGAUUUAAGCUCCAUAAAUAAAGUAUUACACUUUUAUUAGAA
rnacentral:tRNA from 1 species